UGUUCCCUCUCUCGCUGUGUCUCUCUCUGUCAAAUAAAUAAAAUCUUUAAAAAAAAAAAAGAUUUUAUUUAUUUAUUUGACAGAGAGAGAGAGACAGUGAGAGAGAGAACACAGUAGGGGAAGUGGGAGAGGGAGAAUGAGGGUCCCCCCUGAGUAAGGAGCCUGAUGCGGGGCUCAGUUCCAGGACCCUGAGAUCACAACCCUAGCCGAAGGCAGAUGCUUAACGACUGAGCCACCCAGGUGCCCCAAAAUAAAUAAAAUCUUAAAAACAAUAAAUAAAAUUAAUGUCCUCUCCUUUUUCCUUUUGUAACUUUAAUACUAAUAAGAACUUUACCUGUGGUGCUUUGAUCUAGUCCUGAUCUGUUUAGAUCCUGAGUUUUAGCAUGCUUGUGUCUUUUGGACAUCCUGGGCCCUCAGGAUGAUGACACUUUUUAAUUCCUUCUGUGUGCUUCUGCUUCCUCCAUUUGGUUCUGAGAGCUGAAGAAUGCUAAUACUUCUUGUAGUGGAAGAAAGGUAUUUGAACAAAUGGCGGUCUGAUCUGUGGUUGUGGUUGGAAUAACCCUACCAUUUCCAAUCCAUCCUAAUCUCAGUUAUUUAGAAUAACCCUUUUUAUCUAUCUUGAGUGAAAUUUGUCUUAGGAAUUACAUCUGUGAGUUAACAGACAGAAAUAUAUUAGCCAGAAAGGAAGAGCACUAACAUUGGGAGAAGAGGCUGAAUCAAACAUUAGAUUAUGUAGAUGUAAUUCCAUAAAAAUUCCAUGUUGGUAUGAAAAGUAAGUUUAAAGUAAUAGUUAAAUGCUAAUUUAGGGUCAUUAAAAAAGUCUGAAGAGUGCCUGGCUGGCUCAGUCAGUCUGAAAAGCAUGCGACUCUUGAUCUUGCUCUUGAGCUCUGAGUUGUGGCUUUGAGCCCCAUGUUGGCUGUAGAGAUUACUGGGGGAAAAAAAAAACACAAAACUUAAAAAAAAAAGUUUGAAUUUUGGGGGAGUUGUAUAGUUUUUCUAAUGUCUUUUUGUGUCGAUUUUGAUCUCCAUUAAAGUGUUUGAUUUUAGAAAAAAUAAUAGUCAAACCCCAGAACUAGAAAUUUUUUAGUCCCUAAUUAUUUAUUAAGACACUAUAUCAAAAAAUAAGGGAUUUAAAAAAAAUUACAGCAUUAAGGGGUGCCUGGGUGGUUUAAUCGGUAAGCGGCCAACUCUUGAUCUCAGCUCAAGUCUUGAUCUCAGGGUCAUGAGUUUCCAGCUCUGGGUUGGAGCCCAGCAUGGAGUCUACUUUAAAAAAAAAAAAAAAAUUACAGCAUUGAGAAGAUAAAACAUUUGGAAAAUAGUAAUUAUUGGAUUUUAUUUUUAUUUAUUUAAAGUUUUUUUUUUUUAAAGAUUUUAUUUAUUUGAGAGAAAGAGAGAUAGUGAACAUGAACAGGGGGAAGAGGAAGGAGCCCGAUGCUGUACUUAAUCCCAGGACUCUGGGAUCAUGACCUGAGCUGAAGGCAAAUGCUUGACCAACUCAACCACCCAGGCAUCCCGGGAUUUCAUUUCAUUUCAUUGAGAGCAAGAGAGAGUGAGAGAGAGCAUGAGCUGGGGGAGAGGCAGAUGGAGAGGGAAAGACAGACUCCCCGCUGAGCAGGGAGCCCGAUGCGGGGCUCGAUCCUAGGACCCUGGGACCAUGACCUGAGCCAAAGGCAGACGCUUAACCGACUGAGCCACCCAGGUGCCCCUGGAUUUCAUUUUUAAAGGAAAUAGCUGAUCUGAUCAUUUUAACAGUAAACAUUAAUUCCUUAGAAAGGAGACUUGAAAUUUUCUAUUCAAGUUUUUUAGUGUUACCACUCUGUGUCAACUGAAAUAAGUACAGUCAACUUUGGAUCUACUAAUUUUCUCUAUUUACAAAAUGAAGUUUUCUUAGAAAUAGUUUGUAGUAAAUUGAAGUUUGUGAAGAAAAUCUGAAAGCAAAAUAAAACAUCCUUAGAAAGAUAAUAUGUAUUUGUUAUCAAACAGAUUCUAAUUUUUUUUUAAAGAUUUUAUUUAUUUAUUUGACAGAGAGAGAGAGCAGGAACACAAGCAGGGGGAGUGGGAGAGGGAGAAGCAGGCUUCCUGCAGAGCAGGGAGGCUGAUGCGGGGCUUGAUCCCAGGACCCUAGGAUCAUGACCUGAGCCGAAGGCAGAUGCUUAACGACUGAGCCACCCGGGCACCCCAAAUAGAUUCUAAUUUUGAUAUGUGUCUGAGCUUUAGCAACUUCAAAUGUUGGCAGAAUUGUGAUUUAUGUUGAUUAAGGAAUAUUGGUAGGAUUAUUUCAAAUAUAACUUAAUGUAUAAAGAAACUAAUUUUAAAUCUUAUUUUACCAAUAAUUAACACAAUAAUUAAAAAGUUAUGGAAAAUUUUAAACAUUCAGAAAUGGAGAGAAUAUAUAAUGAAACCUCAAAUGUUCAUCACCCACCUUUAACAAUUAUUAACUCAUGGUGAGUCUCCUUUUAUCUAUAUUCCUCUUAAAUCUCCCUACUAUUAUUAAAAAGUCUAUCUUUGGGGCGCCUGGGUGGCUCAGUCGUUGGGCGUCUGCCUUCGGCUCAGGUCAUGAUCCCAGGGUCCUGGGAUCGAGCCCUGCAUUGGGCUCCCUGCUAGGCAGGAGGCCUGCUUCUCCCUCUCGCACUCCCCCUGCUUGUGUUCCCUCUCUUGCUGUCUCUCUCUGUCAAAUAAAUAAAAUCUUUAAAAAAAAAAAAAAAGCCUAUUUUUUACAUAUCAUUUUAUCCAUAAAUAUUUUAGUAUAUUCCACUAAAAGAUAAAGGCUUAUUAUUAAAUCCAUUGCAUAACUUUUAUAUGUAGAGAAAAAAGAUAAUGAAUGUUACUAUAAUUUACUUGUGACAGAAAGUAAAGACCUCUAAAAUAAUUAAUAUAUAUAUAUUUACAGUUAACAUAUUUUUAGUUUUAAAAAAAAAAUUUUAUUUGUCAGAGAGAGCACAGGUAGCCUGGCAGACGGAGAAGCAGGCUUUCUGUUGAGCAAGGAGCCCGUGGUGGGACUCACUCCCAGGAUCCUGGGAUCAUGACCUGAGCUGAAGGCAGACAUCUAACCAACUGAACCACCCAGGCGUCCCAACAUAUUUUUAACUUAUAGCUAAUUUUGUUAGUGAUUCCUGCCACAGGUUGAUUAGAUAUAGCUAUAUUAUUUGGUUUGUAAUGGAGGUUUUUUUUUUUUUUGAGGAUUUAAUUGGCUUUAUUAAGCAAUUCAUGAAUUCGGGAUCAUUCCACAUAGCAAGUAGAGGGGAGCUCCCAAGUGGAAUUUUUUUAUUGAGGUAUAAUUCAUAUAAUAUAAAACCAACCAUUUUAAAGUAUAUAGUUCAAUCGUAUUUAGUACAUUUACAGUGUUGUGCAUUCGUCACCUUGAUCUAGUUCCAAAACAUUUUUAUGACCCCUCAAAAUAACCUUGUACUCAUUAAGCAGUUUGUCUCUAUCCCUACCCACCUAGUACCUGGCAUCCACCAAUUUGCUGUCUCUCUCUCUGAAUUUACCUAUUCUAUAUAGUUCAUAUAAGUGGAAUUAUACGAUUGUUUCUGGCUUCUUUCCCUUCAGAGUAAGUAUAAUAUUUUUGAGAUUCAUUCAUUUUAUAGCAUUUUAUACCAUGUGUUAGUACUUAGUCCCUUUUUAUGACUGAGUGUAUGUCAUCCAUUGAUGGACAUUUGAGUUGUUUCUAUCUUUUGGCUAUUGUGAAUGGUAUUGCUAUAAAUAUUCAUGUAUGGUAUUUAUUUGAGUGCUUCUUUGCAGUUCUUUGGCAUAUAUACACCUAGGAGUGGUUUAUAAUACUCUUGUUGUGAAAUAUAUAACUUACGUUUGUACUAUAGUACCAUUAUAUUGCAGUGUAAUGAGGGAAUUCCAGGCAUGAACGUAUACUCAGAAUUUCAUUGUAAGUUGAUAGAAAAUAAGACUUAGACCCUAAUUUUUCAUUUUAUUUUAUUUUUUAUUUUUUUAAAAAUUUUAAAGAUUUUAUUUAUUUAUUUGACAGAGAGAGACACAGCGAGAGAGGGAACAUAAGCAGGGGGAGUGGGAGAGGGAGAAGCAGGCUCCCCGCGGAGCAGGGAGCCAGAUGCGGGGCUUGAUCCCAGGACCCUGGUAUCAUGAUGCAAGCAGAAGGCAGAUGCUUAAUGACUGAGCCACCCAGGCGCCCCUAAUUUUUCAUUUUAUUUAUAAGCUUAAUUUCCCCCCUGAUUACCAAAGUAAUAUUAAAUAUGGUAAUUGCACAAAUUUUAAAUUUUUUAGAAAUAUACAUGGCUUAGACAGUUACAAGUUGGUGGAGCUUGUGACUCUUGAUGUUGGGGUUGUGAGUUUGAGCCCCAUGUUGGCUAUAGAGAUUACUUAAAAUCUUUAAAAAAACACUUCUGUGUACAGCCUUUAAAGAAUGUGUUGAAAGUUUUUGCUGUAUAGUUGGUAAACUCAUAUUAAGGCAGAAAAUAUUUGUCAUAAUGUAUUUUAUUUUAUUUUUAUUUAUUUAUUUUUUUAAAGAUUUUAUUUUUUUGACAGAGAGAUGCACAGCGAGAGGGGAACACAAGCAGGGGGAAUGGGAGAGGGAGAAGCUGCUCACCCGAUGUGGGGCUUGAUCCCAGGACCCUGGGAUCAAGACUUGAGCCGAAGUGAGAUGCUUAACGAUGGAGCCACCCAGAGAAAAUGGUCCUCAUUAUAUGACAUAUAAUUUCUUACCACUACAUCUCCAAGCCUACUAGCAUCCGUAUCCAACCUGUUCUACUUCCUUCUUGUAGUGGAGGAGAGAUGUCCUUCCUCCUAGCUAAGGUCAGUCCUUAUCUUUGCUCUGAGUGCCGUUUUCUCUUACCUUUUCAGAAGGCUUACACUUCUUAUAUCUUUCCUUCUCUAUUGAAUUUGUGCAGUUGGAAUCAAAACAUCUCAAGUCUUUCCCAUAUGAGAAAAUUAUCCUUUGACUUCAUAGAGCCAUGUUGCUCUUAUCUAUGUUGCUUAAGAGUUUUUUUAAAAUUAUCGUCUGCACCUUUCUCCAUCCCUCACUUUGCAUUCACUCUUUUUUUUUUUUUAAAGAUUUUAUUUAUUUAUUUGACAGAGAGAGACACAGCGAGAGAGGGAACACAAGCAGGGGGAGUGGGAGAGGGAGAAGCCCGCUUCCCAUUGAGAAGGGAGCCCAGUGUGGGGCUCGAUCCCAGACCCUAGGAUCAUGACCCAAGCUGAAGGCAGACGCUUAACGACUGAGCCACCCAGGCGCCCCUGCAUUCACUCUUUAACCUGUUCUGUUUUGUCUGUCAUCGUCACUGCUGCACUGAAAUUGUGUUCAGUAAUCUACAUGCUGCAAAAUUCAUUGAAUUCUGCUGAGUUCUCUUUUUUUAAUGGUAGAUAUUUUUUAAAGAUUUAUUUAUUUUAGAGAGGGAGAGAGCAUGUGUGUGCACGAGUGGGAGGGACAGAGCGAGAGAGAGUCCCAAGCCUAGUGUGGGGCUUGAUCUCAAUGACCCUGAGAUCAUGACUUGAGCUGAAACUAAGAGUUGCAUACUCAACCGACUACUGAGCCACCCAGAUGUGCACCCCCCUGUUUAGUUCUCAUUUUGCUUGUCUUCUCAGCAUCAUUUCACACAAUUGAUUAUUUCCCCUUUUUUGGAAAAGCUAAUCCUUUGGCUUUUGUGAUGGCAUUCUUUCCUACUUUCCCUGUUACUUUCUAGCCCCUUGUUCUCCUUUACUUUUAAAUAUUUUUUUUUAAAUUUAACUUUACUAUUUUUUAAGGUACUAGGUGUUCCUUUUUUUUUUUUUGGAGUGUAGUUAAUACAUGGUGUUAAAUUAGUUUCAGAUGUUCAGGGUAGUGAUUCCAGAGAAGUCUCUACAUUAUGCUAUGCUCACUACAGUGUAGUUACCAUCUGUUACCAUACAAUGCUAUUCCAGUAUCAUUGACUAUCUUCCCUAUUUGUAUCUUUUACCCUGUGACUUAUUCAUUCCAUAACUUGAAGACUAUAGCUCCCACUCCCCUUCACUUAUUUUCUCCAACUCCCCACCCUACUUUUAAGUAUUAAAUGGCCUAUGAUACCUCUACUUGUUUGAAUCAUAGGUGCCUCAGACUUAAGAUGCUAGAAACUGAAUUCAUCACCUUUCCCCAGUCUCCUUUACUACUGUCCAUUCACUCAUUUAUUAGAAACCUAGACAUCAUUCUUGACUCCAUUAUUCCUCUUUGUCUUUGUCCUCUCCUCCCAGUUCGUCUGUAACAGGUCCUGUUGAUUUGUAAGUAUCUCUUCAAUUGGCCUAUUCCAUCUAUACCAUCCCAAUGUAAAGCUUAGACAACUGCUAUAGCUUCUAAUUGUCUUUACAUCACCACAUACCUUCCCCUGAUCACAUUCCCAUUAUCUAUACUGUGGCUCAAGUGGUAUUUUCAAAAGAGAAAUCUGAUCAUGUCACUCCCUGCUUAAAAAUCUUUCAGUAAUUCCCCAUAAGUAUACGGUCUCACAGUAAUACCUAAGAGGCCCUUUAUAGCAUAGCUCCUAUUUUUCUAGUCUUGCUGCGUUCAUCCCAUUACCCUCAUCUUAACUAGUUUUUUUGGUCUUUCAGUUUUUGAAAUUUCAUUCUUUUCUGCCUUCUCAACUGUCGUUCUCUCACUAGAAAGCUUGUUUCUCAGUCUGAAUAUUACCAUUUGUCAGGUCUUGUAGUUCAGAGAAAAUUACUGUACGUAUUUAUUCUUCACUUGAUAAAAAUUCUUUGAGUACCUACCAUGUGUCAGGUACUCUUAGGUCCCAGAGAUACUAUAGUAAGGCCAAGUACCUACCCUUAGGAAGUUUUCAUUAUAGGGAUGAGGAGACAGACAAUAAACACCAAAAAAUAAGACUGUUUAGAUAGGGAGAAGUGCUGUUUGGAAAAUUAAAUGGGAAAACAAAGUGAUUAAAAAAUGGGCAGAGGACCUGAAUUGAUAUUUUUCUGAAGAAGUUGUGCAGAUGGCCAACAGACACAUGGAAAGAUGCUCAACAUUACUAAUCAUCAGGGAAGUGCAAAUCAAAACCACAGUGAUAUCACCUAUACCUGUCAGAAUGGUUUGAAUCACAAAAGACAAAAAAUAACAAAUGUUGGUGAGGAUGUGGAGAAAAAGGAACCCUGUGCACUCUUGGUGGGAAUGUAAAUUAGUACAGCCACUGUGGAAAACAGUAUGUAACUUCCUCAAAAAAUUAGAAAUACUAUAUGAUCCAGGGGUGCCUGGGUGGCUCAGUCGUUAAGCAUCUGCCUUUGGCUCAGGUCAUGAUCCCAGGGUCCUGGGAUCGAGCCCCGCAUCGGGCUCCCUGCUCAGUGGGAAGCCUGCUUCUCCCACUCCCCCUGCUUGUGUCCCCUCUCUUGCUGUGUCUCUCUCAAAUAAAUAAAUAAAAUCUUAAAAAAAAAAGUUAAAAAGAAAGAAAUACUAUAUGAUCCAAUAAUUUCACUUCUGGGUAUUUACCCAAAGAAAAUGAAAACACUAAUUUGAAAAGAUAUAUGCACUCCUGUGUUUAUUGCAGCAUUAUUUACAAUAGCCAAGAUAUGGAAGCAAUCAAAAUGUCCAUCGAUAGAUGUAUGGAUAAGGAAGAUGUGGUAGACAGACAGACAGACACACACACACAGUGGAAUAUUAUUUAGCCAUGAAAAGGACGAGAAUUUGCCAUUUGUGAUAACAUGGAUGAACCUAGAGGGUAUAAUGCUAAGUGAAAUAAAUCAGACCAAGAAAGACAAAUACCAUAGGAUUUAACUCAUGUGGAAUCUAAAAAACAAAACAAAUGAGUAAACAAAAAGUAGAAUCAGACUUGUAAAUACAUAGAACAAAGUGAUGGUUGCCAGAGGGAAGGGAGUGUGGGCAAAAUGGACGAAGGGGAGUGGGAGAUACAGGCUUCCAGUUAUGGAAUGAAUAAAUCAUAGGAAUAAAAGGCACAGCAUAGGGAAUAUAGUUAAUGAUACUGUAAUAGUAUGGUGACAGAUGGUAGCUACACUUGUGGUGAGCAUAGCAUAAGGUAUAGACUUCUCUGGAAUCACUGUUGUACACCUGAAACUACUGUAACAUUGUGUGUCAAUUAUACUAAAAAUAUUAAAUACAACAGAGCAAAUAAACCUAAUAUUACUCUGACCUGGUUAAAAAAAAAAAAACACCAGAAAGAUACUUAAAUGGGGUGAUGAUACAGAAAAUUUGAAUUGGAAGGAGGACUUCUUUAAGGAAGUUAGGGAGUGGUACUAUGUGGAGGUGACAUUAGAGCUGAGACGUGGAAGGUAGAUCUGACAUCUUCCAUGUGAAGAUCUGUGGAAAAGGAAAGAUGGGAAAAAUCUUUCUAAGGGUAAUGUGGCUAGAGGAUAGUUAGUGAGAGGGAAACUGGUAGGAGAAAGGUCAGAGAUUGUCAGGAGCCAGAUUAUGUAGGGCCUUGAAGGCCUUGAAAAGUGGUUUGAUUUUAUUCAAGUGUGUUGGGGUAUCAUUAGAGUACUUGAUUUACCUUUUAAAAGAAGUUUUUAAAAUAAUCAUUUUUAAAAGAAUUUUUUUUAAAGAAAAAUUCCACUCAGGCUACUGAGUGGAAAACAUACUGAAGGGAAGGCAAGAGCAGAAUCAACCAGCGGGGAGGGUAUCCUGGUAGUCCAGGCAGGAAAUGAGAAUUGCUUAUACUUUAGUGUGGGGUGGGGAAUUAAGGGGGGAGAGCUUGGAUAUUUUUAAGGCAGAGCUGGACUGGACUUACUGGUGGAUUGGAUAUGGGGUAUGAAGGAAAGAAAGGAAUCUAAGGAUGACUUCUAGUUCAAAUUUUUUUCUAAGUAUGUCAGUGGAUGGUAGUACAUGUGUGGGAGGAUAAUCAAGAGUACUGGUUGUUAAGUAUGAGAUACCAGUUAGACAACCAAAUAGGCCAGAUGGUCAUUCUGGAGCUUAGAAAAGAGUCAGAGUUGGUGAUCAAUGUUUAGGAGUCAUCACAGAAUAGAUAAGCACUGUCUCACAGAAAUAUAAUGUGAGGCACAUACGUAAUUUAAAAAUUUUCUAAUAGCCACAUUAAAUAAGUGUGAAGAAACAGGUUGAAAUUAAUUAUAAUGACCUAGUGCAUCCAAAAUAAUUAUUUCAGUAAGCAACCAGCAUAGUUAAUUAAAGGGAUCUUUUACUGCUUUUUUUUUUUUUUUUUGUACUAAGUAUUUGGAAUCUGAUGUAUUUUAUACUUAACAGCACAUCUUAGUUGGGACAUGGGUAGUGAAAAACUGGGAGGAUUAAUGAGUGGGAAGUGCUGUGGUAUGAAAGGAUAGUUGGAAUUGAGGUACUAGAGUAAGUAAACUGUAGAGAUGGAAGUUGUGUGUUUAGAAUGUGGGAUUUUUGAAAUCUAGAUUUUUGAAAUCGAUGUAAUUACUUGUGAUCAUGGGAGUUUUUGACUGUGGUGAAGAAAAAAAUGGAACAAAAAUUGUUUCAGGGGGUACCUGGGUGGCUCAGUCGUUAAGCGUCUGCCUUCGGCUCGGGUCAUGAUCCCAGGGUCCUGGGAUCGAGCCCCACAUCGGGCUCCCUGCUCCGCGGGAAGCCUGCUUCUCCCUCUCCCACUCCCCCUGCUUGUGUUCCCUCUCUCGCUGUCUCUCUCUCUCUGUUGAAAAAUAAAUAAAAUCUUUAAAAAAAAAAAAUUGUUCCAGUUCAGGAGGUCAAGUGAGAGGCAAGGGUUUUUGGUGGAUUAUCUGAGUGUAUGUUGACAUCCCUAAGAAAAAUGAUAUGAAUAGUGGUGAAUUAGUGAGCCAGAUGUUAGAGUCCCUCCAGUGUGGUGGAUGUUGGUAGAUGACACUUAUAAGGAGGUUACUUCCUUAGAGACCUCAGUUUAUACCCUGUUAAAUGCUCACAUAGAAUCCUAUAGCCUCUGUAGCACUCAUUGCACCUGUUUGACGCUUGAUGCCAAUCUCCAAGAAAGCCGGACCAGGUUUUUCUAGUUUAUUUCUGUAGCUCCACUACCUGCUCAAUACCUGGCACAUAAAUUCUCAUAAAGUGUAAAGAAGUCUGGAAGCUUGGGGGCGCCUGGGUGGCUCAGGCGGUUAAGCGUCUGCCUUCAACUCAGGUCAUGAUCCCAGUGUCCUGGGAUCGAGCCCCGCAUCGGGCUCCCUGCUCAGCUGGAAGCCUGCAUCUCCCUCUCCUACUCCCCCCUGCUUGUGUUCCCUCUCUCUCUGUCUCUAUGUCAAAUAAAUAAAAUUAAAAAAAAAAAAAAAGAAGUCUGGAAGCUUGGUUCUAGUCCUCAUUCCAUCAUGAAUUAGUUUUAUUGUAACCAGCAUUUAACUGUCUUUUACCUUCUGUUUUGAACUGGCUUAUGUCCAGUGACAAUUCUUUAUUUUUAUUAAAAUUUUUUUUUAAAGAAUUUAAGAUUUUGUGCGUGUAUGAGUGGGAGGGAAGGGCAGAUGGAGAGGGAGAAGCAGACUCCCCACUAAGCAGGAAGCCUGACGUGUGGUUGUAUCCCAGAACCUGGAAAUCAUGACCGGAGCCGAAGGCAGACGCUCUAACCAACCAAGCUACCCAGGCGCCCCUAUUUUAAUUUUAAUUUUUAUUUUAUUUUAUUUUUAAAGAUUGUAUUUAUUUAUUUGAGAGAGAGAGAAUGAGAGACAGAGAGCAUGAGAGGGAGGAGGGUCAGAGGGAGAAGCAGACUCCCUGCCGAGCAGGGAGCCCGAUACGGGACUCGAUCCUGGGACUCCAGGAUCAUGACCUGAGCCGAAGGCAGUCGCUUAACCAACUGAGCCACCCAGGCGCCCCAGGCGCCCCUAUUUUUUAAAAAAAUUCUUAAGUUUUAAUUCCAGUUAUUUAAUACACAGUGUAAUAUUAGUUUCAGGUGUACAAUAUAGUGAUUCAACAGUUCUAUGCAUCACCAGAUACUCAUGAUGACAAGUACACUCCUAAUCCCCAGAUUGACAAUUCUGAUUUUUAGUAAAGUUUGUUCCUGUGUAUUUGACUUCCAGCCUGACAAUUCUGGUGUUUUUCAUUAGUUUCUGAGUUCUUCAGUUUUCUCCAGAACAAAAAAACAAAUCUCUGAUUUACUUAUACCUGUUCCUUCCAUUGUGUUGUUAGCAGAUGUUAUGUUUAAAUGUUUACUUUGUUAUAAUUAAGAUAUCAAAACACUGAAUAAACAGAUUGUUGAGGAAAUGAUUUAAUUCCAGUUGUUUUGAACUGUGAUUCCUCUUAAACAUUCUUUAAAAAAAAUUUUUUUUUUUUUACUUUUUAAAGAUUUUAUUUAUUCAUUUGAGAGAGAGAGAGAGAGAGACAGAGCACAAGCAGGGAGAGAGGCAGAGGGAGAGGGAGAAGCAGACUCCCCGCUGAGCCGGGAGCCUGACAGGGGGCUUGAUCUGAGGAGCUGGAGAUCAUGACCUGUGCUGAAGGCAGAUGCCCAACCAUCUGAGCCACCCAGGCGCCCUCCUCUUAAACAUUCUUAAAACCUUUUUGUUAAAAUCAAUUUUUUCCAAGUCUUACUGAACAGAGAAUAUGUAGGGGAGGAUGUGUUAGAAUGUCUUUUUCUUUAUCUCUUGAUCAGUUUUCUACAAUAUAGAUCAAUAAUACUGAAACUUAUGGUCUCAGGACUCUAUACUCUUGAGUAUUGAGGUCCUCAGAGAACUUUAGGUGAGUUAUAUCAAUAUUUACUGUAUCAGAAAUUAAGACCAAGUUUAUUUAUUUUUUAAAAGAUUUUAUUUAUUUAUUUGACAGAGAGACAGUGAGAGAGGGAACAUAAGCAGGGGGAGCGGGAGAGGGAGAAGCAGGCAGGGAGCCCGAUGUGGGGCUCGAUCCCAGGAUUCUGGGAUCAUGACCUGAGCCGAAGGCAGAUGCUUAACAACUGAGCCACCCAGGUGCCCCCAAAAUUAAGACCAAGUUUAAAAUAUUUAUUAAUUCAGUUAAAAUAACAUGUAAUGGGUUUAAUAAUUUUAACGUAAAUAAUAGAUUUUUUGAAAAUAACCAUAAUUUUCCAAAACGAAAAAAAUUGUUUAAUAGGAAGAGUGGCAUUAUUUUACAUGAUUGCAAAUCUCUUUAGUGACUAGCUAAUAGCUAAAUUCUCAUCUGCUUCUGCAUUCAAUCUGUUAUGGUAUUUUAUGAAGUAUAUGAGAAAAUCUGGCUUCAUACAGUUGUGUAGUUGGAAGGAGGAGUUGGAUUUGGGAGGAGUAUUUUUUGCAUGUAAUUGUGGAUAAUUUUUGUGGGUUUUUUUUUAUUAAAGAUUUUUUAAAAUUUUAUUUUAUUUAUUUGAGAGAGAGAGAAUGAGAGAGAGCACAUGAGAGGGGGGAGGGCCAGAGGGAGAAGCAGACUCCCUGCCGAGCAGGGAGCCUGAUGCGGGACUCGAUCCAGGGACUCCAGGAUCAUGACCUGAGCCGAAGGCAGUCGCUUAACCAACUGAGCCACCCAGGCGCCCCCCCCCCUUUUUUUUUUAAAGAUUUUAUUUAUUUUUUAUUUGAGAGCGAGAAUGAGAGAGAGAGAGCAUGAGAGGGGGGAGGGUCAGAGGGAGAAGCAGACUCCCCGCCGAGCAGGGAGCCCGAUGCGGGACUCGAUCCAGGGACUCCAGGAUCAUGACCUGAGCCGAAGGCAGUCGCUUAACUGACUGAGCCACCCAGGUGCCCUUUUUUUUUUUUUUUAAAGAUUUUAUUUAUUUAUUUGACAGAGAGAGACACAGCGAGAGAGGGAACACAAGCAGGGGGAGGGGAGAGGGAGAAGCAGGCUUCCCGCGGAGCAGGGAGCCCGAUGCGGUGCUCCAUCCGAGGACGCUGGGAUCAUGACCUGAGCCAAAGGCAGACGCUCAACGACUGAGCCACCCAGGCGCCCCUGUGGAUAAUUUUUGUUGGUAUUUCAUCAGAACUUGGCACAUAAGAGUUUCCUAAAGGUUGGUUGCAGUGUGGACUCUGAAAUCAUAUCAGUAAACAUUUUGUACUCUGUUACAGUAGAAAUUGUUGUAUAGGUCAUUUGGAAAAGUAGGGAAGAGCUUUCAAGAUCAUGUUGAUGGAUACAGGUUUUCAAAAAUUCUAACUUUUGCUUGAAAGCUUGAAUUUUGCAUUGGCAACAAAUAUUACCAAUUAUUUUCCUUGAAGUGAUAGGCUCAUCUUAAUAACUGUAGUUUGUUAGUUGUUUUUUGAAGUAAUAAUGAACUCGUUUUUGAAGUCAUUUUUUGAAGUUCUGUGGAAAAGUGGCUUUUUCAGCUUGCAGAUAAAUUGCACAAGUGCUUUUUCUCCUAAAGGCAACCAUCAUACUUAGAAUGUGAAAUAUUUUAUGUUUACUCCCCAUUUUGUCACAUAGAAUAUUAUAAGUCAUCCUAAGGGCAAAGAUUUAGUGAAGUUAGUAUUUUUCUUUCUUCAAGAACAUUUUUUUUUUUUUUAAGAUUUUAUUUAUUUAUUUGACAGCGAGAGACACAGCGAGAGAGGGAACACAAGCAGGGGGAGUGAGAGAAGGAAAAGCAGGCUUCCUGCCGAGCAUGGAGCCCGAUGCGGGGCUUGAUCCCAGGACCCUGGAACCAUGACCUGAGCUGAAGGCAGACGCUUAAUGACUGAGCUACCCAGGCGCUCCCAGGAUCCCAAGUUCUAAGAGAAAUGUUCAGUAAAAUGAAAUAUGUGUAAUUGUAUGUAACGUAGUUCACAGUAUGACAGAAUAUAUUCAUUUGUCACCUGUUUCGUUAUUCAACAACUUUUUACUGCUUAUUACAUUCUAGAGUGUGUUAUGUGAAUCAGAUAUAAUCUCUUCUUUAAGAUAAUCUUUGCUUCCCCCCCAAUCAAAUAAAUCACAUUUAUUUAAUAAACUUUAUCUAGGGAAGUACAUGUUGACCCAAGAAUGUAUGUAAGGUGCCCCCACCUAGCCUAGUGUGUCAAAGAAGUAAUGUUGGAGUUGAGAUCUGAAGAGUGAAUAUAUGUUAACCAAGAAGUUUUGAGGGAAGGAAAAACAAUGUGCUUACCAGAGGGAACAGAAACAUUAUAUCUAGAGGCCCAAAGGUGAGUGAGAGCAGAGUGAUUUUGAACAAGAUAAAGACCUGUGUACUCUAGAGUACAGUGAGCAAAGAGGGGAGAGUGACCUUUGAGGAAUUAGGUAAGGAUGAGAUCAAAUAAAGCUUUACAGGCUAUGUUAAGGAUGUUGGUCUUUUUUAUGAGGCUGAUGAGAAGACACUGAAAGUUUUAAGCAGUGGGAUGACAUUAUCAUUUUUACUUUUAAAAAAGAUUACUCAUGUUAAGAGUAGAGAACAGAUUGGAAGGAGGCUUGUGUAUGGAUUGGAAGGAGCUCAAGAAGAGAUUGCGGGGAGGCUAGUUUAGAACUGAUGGUAGCAAGUGGUGGUAAAUUAUCUAAAAUCUCUAGUGCCUGGAAUCAAUAUGAUGGGCUGUGGCUCCUUUUCUUUUUUAGAAAAACGAGUGUUUGAGGCUAUAGUGAUGUUAGAAGUAGUUCAACAAAUAGUUAAUUUGGUAUUCAACAAGUAUUUACUGUCUACUCUAUGAAGGACUAUUCCAAAGUACUGUGAUGUCAUGUUGUGAUGUCUACUAUAUGUGAUAUCGUUAUGUAAAAAUGAUUGACUAAUAGAUUAUAAAGCCUUAAAUUUAGGGAGGAGAAAAAUGAUCUAUAGUACUGAUAUUUAAAUGAGGAAAUAUUCUGUAUGGAAGAAAAUAAUUGUUAUUUUUGAAAGGUUUUCAAUUUUAGUUUUGGCAGUCAGUAGAAUUUUGCUUGUGGAAAUAAAAAGUAUCAAGCAGUAUUUUUUUUUUUAAGAGCAUCUAGAUAUUUAAUAUAUUCCUCUAAAAGAUUCAAAUAAUACUUUUGCAUUAAAGGCAAAACCUAAAAUUCCCCUUUCUUCUUCUGCUCUCCACGUUCCUACUCAUUGCCUUCCCCAAACUGUUGUCAAGUUUGUUUUGUAUCCUUCCACUUUUUACUCAAAGGUUGAAGUGGUUUGGGAAGAUUGAUCUGGCAUUGGUACAGGAUGGAUUAGUGAAGAGACAGACUGGAUGCCCAAUGACUACUUAGAGGACUUGUAUUUGUCCAGAUGCAAAGAAUAUUUCUUGAAUUUAGAUAGCUACAGUUAUGAUUGAAAAGGAAGGAAUAAAUGCAAGUAUCAGGAAACCUUGGUGAAGGGGAUAUGGGUAGAUAGGGCAAGGGAGAACUCAGAUGACUUAUUUUACCUAUAGCCAUUCUCCAGCAUAAAGCUAAUAUGCCUACAGAAGGUAAUUUGCAGUCACAGAAGUGAAUCUAUAGACCCUGUCUUUUCAACCAUUAGUACACAAUUGGUUCUGACACUUCCCAGGUUUUACUCCUCCACAGUUGAAUUGAUUGGCAGAGCAGUGGGUUGGAAAAUAGGAAUAAGGCUUGACUGUUAGCUGGCUGUGUGGGCAGAAUCUGGGAGAGGGAGGAAAGAGAGGAAAGGGACUCCAAGGUCUCUGGCUAUAUAGUAUGAGGACAUGAGGUUGAGGUGCAAGUUUUUCCUUCUAAUGUUAAUUUUGAUAUUCUGUCUUAAUGUUUUGUAUUAUAGAUGUUGACAUUUUUAGGCACAUAGAAUCUUUUUAUAAGUACUUCUAAAACGUGUGACUUAUAUGUGGAUUGAGAAUUCUUUUUA